UACAGAGGGCUCAAGCGUUGUUCGGAUUCAUUGGGCGUAAAGGGCGCGUAGGCGGCGGGGUAAGUCUGGUGUGAAAUCUCGGAGCUCAACUCCGAAAUUGCACUGGAUACUGCUCUGCUUGAGGGUUGGAGAGGAGAUCGGAAUUCACGGUGUAGCAGUGAAAUGCGUAGAUAUCGUGAGGAAGACCAGUGGCGAAGGCGGAUCUCUGGACAAAUCCUGACGCUGAGGCGCGAAGGCUAGGGGAGCAAACGGG
rnacentral:rRNA from 1 species